ensembl:lncRNA
GCGGGUUGUAGCUUCCGAGCUACGACCGAGAGGACAUCCGGUCCUGCUCGGCUGCUCUCUAGACAAGUUUUGGCAGGAAGACUUGUGUGUGACGUUGCUCUUCCCGUAGGACAAAUUCACCUGGCUGGAGAUCAACACCUGUGAGGAGACGUAUCAAGAGAACCGAGCAAUGUGGUCAGUGAAGGAAAUGUGCUUCUAAGCUGAAGGCUAUUUAUAUAUGUGACGCAAAAGAAAAAAAAGGCCCCUGUUUUAUUCAGUGAUCAAAAAACAAGCGGUCGGGUGUUAAUGGACUUCACCUCAGACAUUCCGGCGGACCCUCGGGGGACACGCCGCCCGUGGACUCGACAAGGGAGCGCUCGGCACCGGCCUGCUUAAUGAAGCCGUUUGCGGAGACGGAGGGACGCGAACGCCAUCAUGGAGCGUCUGAAAUGAAAGCGAAGAGCCGGCUGCUACGAUAAUGCAGUUCUUUCAUUCACCAGAGGGAAAGCUGUUUGUAGUCCCGACUGAUGGGGGGCGCCCCGGGCCACCGGCGUGCGAUGAAACAGAAGGCUGAGCUUCAAAACCUUGCUGCUGGAUAAUCGAGAGCAAUGAAUUAGUGUAAUGUCUUCUCACGUGACCUAAAAG